rnacentral:rRNA from 1 species
GACGAACGCUGGCGGCGUGCUUAACACAUGCAAGUCGAACGGAAAGGCCCUGCUGGCAGGGUACUCGAGUGGCGAACGGGUGAGUAACACGUGGGGGAUCUGCCCUGCGCGUCGGGAUAAGCCUGGGAAACUGGGUCUAAUACCGGAUAGGAGCCAUUUUUAGUGUGAUGGUUGGAAAGUUUUUUCGGUGUAGGAUGAGCUCGCGGCCUAUCAGCUUGUUGGUGGGGUAAUGGCCUACCAAGGCGGCGACGGGUAGCCGGCCUGAGAGGGUGGACGGCCACAUUGGGACUGAGAUACGGCCCAGACUCCUACGGGAGGCAGCAGUGGGGAAUAUUGCACAAUGGGCGCAAGCCUGAUGCAGCGACGCCGCGUGGGGGAUGACGGCCUUCGGGUUGUAAACUCCUUUCGCUAGGGACGAAGCUUUUUGUGACGGUACCUAGAUAAGAAGCACCGGCUAACUACGUG